UACAGAGACUGCAAGCGUUAUUCGGAUUCACUGGGCGUAAAGGGUGCGCAGGCGGCCAAGUGUGUUAGGCGUGAAAGCCCGGGGCUUAACCCCGGAAUUGCACCUAAAACUACAUGGCUAGAGCAUUGGAGAGGGUAGCGGAAUUCACGGUGUAGCAGUGAAAUGCGUAGAUAUCGUGAGGAACACCAGCGGCGAAGGCGGCUACCUGGACAAUUGCUGACGCUCAGGCCCGAAAGCGUGGGGAGCAAAAGGG
rnacentral:rRNA from 1 species